rnacentral:rRNA from 1 species
CAGCGGCCCUAGUGGUGAUCGUUAUUAUUGGGCCUAAAGCGUCCGUAGCCGGUUCGGUAAAUCUCUGGGUAAAUCGAUGGGCUUAACCCAUCGAAUUCUGGGGAGACUGCUGGACUUGGGACCGGGAGAGGUCGGAGGUACUCCAGGGGUAGGGGUGAAAUCCUGUAAUCCUUGGGGGACCACCGGUGGCGAAGGCGUCCGACCAGAACGGGUCCGACGGUAAGGGACGAAGCCCUGGGGCGCAAACCGGAUUAGAUACCCGCGUAGUCC